GAUGAUGUGGUUUAAUUCGAUGCAACGCGAAAAACCUUACCCACCUUUGACAUGUACGGAAUCCUUUAGAGAUAGAGGAGUGCUCGAAAGAGAGCCGUAACACAGGUGCUGCAUGGCUGUCGUCAGCUCGUGUCGUGAGAUGUUGGGUUAAGUCCCGCAACGAGCGCAACCCUUGUCAUUAGUUGCUACAUUCAGUUGGGCACUCUAAUGAGACUGCCGGUGACAAACCGGAGGAAGGUGGGGAUGACGUCAAGUCCUCAUGGCCCUUAUAGGUGGGGCUACACACGUCAUACAAUGGCUGGUACAGAGGGUUGCCAACCCGCGAGGGGGAGCCAAUCCCAUAAAGCCAGUCGUAGUCCGGAUCGCAGUCUGCAACUCGACUGCGUGAAGUCGGAAUCGCUAGUAAUCGCGGAUCAGAAUGUCGCGGU
rnacentral:rRNA from 1 species